GACGAACGCUGGCGGCGUGCUUAACACAUGCAAGUCGAACGGAAAGGCCCUGCUUGCAGGGUACUCGAGUGGCGAACGGGUGAGUAACACGUGGGUGAUCUGCCCUGCACUUCGGGAUAAGCCUGGGAAACUGGGUCUAAUACCGGAUAGGAGCCAUUCUUAGUGUGAUGGUUGGAAAGUUUUUUCGGUGUAGGAUGAGCUCGCGGCCUAUCAGCUUGUUGGUGGGGUAAUGGCCUACCAAGGCGGCGACGGGUAGCCGGCCUGAGAGGGUGGACGGCCACAUUGGGACUGAGAUACGGCCCAGACUCCUACGGGAGGCAGCAGUGGGGAAUAUUGCACAAUGGGCGCAAGCCUGAUGCAGCGACGCCGCGUGGGGGAUGACGGCCUUCGGGUUGUAAACUCCUUUCGCUAGGGACGAAGCUUUUUGUGACGGUACCUAGAUAAGAAGCACCGGCUAACUACGU
rnacentral:rRNA from 1 species